UAUGGGAGUUAGCAGAGAGGUGGUCCCUCCAGCCUACGUCGAUUCUUCUACUUCCGGGAAUUCGCCUGCCCCCUUGGGUAAACCAGAGCCCAUGGUGGUGACUUCAACCGUCACUUUUCUGUCAUGCAUCUGACUGCAAGCUGUACAAACUCUGCCGUCAUCAUAUCCAAGGCAGUAAGUUGUGAAGACUGCUUCCCUGAGAACACUGAGUGCAUUCUGGAAUAUUCCAAAUGUGUCCCACUUCCAUACAAAAGAAGUUCGAAUCCCGCAAGAGAGUUCACUCACCAGGUAGAGACAGACAGACAGACACACACACACACACACACACACACGUAGAAUAGCAAAUAACAUUAUUUGCAUGUAUUUGUGUCUGUUACUGUGUUUAGUUUAUCCCCUUUUUUCAUGUGUCAUUAAGUAAAGAUCCGUCAUUAUUGUCAGCUGUAACUUACCCCGAUAUUUAUUUAUAGCCUACUGUCUUGUUCAUACAUCGGUACACGUCGCAGCUGAAGGAAACAAGGCAAGUCAAGAAACUGAAACCCUCACAAAUAAAGUCACAAAUCAAGAAUUAACAUUGAUGGUGAUGGUGGCAAGGGUGCCUUCAUAAGGUGCCAUCCAGCAAGUCCCAGCCUGGAGCCAGAGGCUGGCACUGCACGUCAGAUGGGGGAGGAUCUAUGUUAGGCGUCAGGAAGGUGGUUUAAGCAAGAAGGCAAGAACUUCUGCAGACAGUGUUGCAAUUAGACACCUGACUUUUACUGAGUCCCUUUUCUGGUUUGUUUUGGAUGAACUAGAGUGGUGGGCACAGAAAUUUUGUCGAUGGGUCAAACAUUCACACACUCACUCACACAACCACACUUGUGGAUUUGUCAAGCAACAAAUCUUUGUAUAUAAUCUGUUGCUCAUUGAAUAUGCUUAAUAAAUGUUGUCUUCUUGACUUGUA